GUCCACUCCUCUGUGCCUGACCACACUGCUCCCCAUCCAGUGGGUGGCUCAGCCUGGCUCCAUCACAGUAGCCCCCAGGGCAGUGGGCUCCACGGAGGCUCUCGCUUGUCCCUAGUUCCUGCCAGCUCUGUGGAGUGCAGCACCACUCCGGGGCCAGUUCUGCCUCCUCCCCACACCCUCCCCACAACGGUGGCAGGCGACAGCGGCAACUGCAUGGCCAGGAUGCAGAGCAGCAGAGGCUCUGGACCUGGGAGCAGGUCCUGCCUGGCCUCAGGAGGGUGGGAGCAGUGCAGUCUGCUGCUCAGGGACAGAAGGCACAGGGGACCCACUGCUGCCAUUGAUGAUGCUCCCACAGCCGCUCCUGCUGUCACUGCCUGUGCCUCCCUGAUGACAGCAGCUGCUCUGGAUGGUCUGCCGCUGCCAUUAAUUUAAGCAUUGAAGAAUCAAUAGCCUUAAUCAUAAAUGGGGAUUAGAUGGGAGUGAGAAUUCAGGAGCACAUAACAACAAAGGAAAAACAUUCAGUGGUCUAUGGGUGGGGAUAAAUGUUAAAUCAUAGGGCAUUCUAUGACAACACUGAGUAGUAGAAUUUGGCAUACUGGCUUCUGGGAGACAAGAACUAACAUAGGCUAGGACAAAGAAAAGAGAGCCUUCAAUGCCAGACACAAGAGUUCAGAGGUAAUGGGGUCCAUGGUCAAUUUUUGAGCAAGGGAAUUAAAUGAGAAGGUCAAAACUGUACUUGAAACUGAGUAUCAAUUGAAGAUUGAAUGCUGAAAUUAAUGAGGAGCUCUUUCCCAGAUAAGGAAGGCCAAGGUGUGAAUCUGGCUGCAGAGAAUGCCACAGACUGAGUGAUUUACACUUAAUGGAGGCCAGGAAGUUCAAUAUCAAGGUGGUGACAUCUGGCAAGGGCCUUCUUGCUGCAUCAUCCCAUGAAGUAUAAAAAAUCUGCAGACUCCAUAUGCAGCAAGUUCUCUCCCUCUUCUGACCUCAAUCAUACACAAAACUUUAAAACAGAAUUAUUUCUUACCAUAUGGGAUCUGAGACUAAGAUCAAACCCAACCUAGACAAAUGCCAUGCAGCAAGUUGACAACUGUUCCUGGAGUCCUGGGCAAUGCCUGGGAGAGUGCCUGCCAGGGCCUACUGUUUUCAAACGAGUUUCAUUUCUCUAACAAUUUAAAUCUGCCAAGAAGAAACCGAGACAAUCAAGCUUCGUGCCAAAAAGCCCCAAGCUUAAGCGAGAGAUGUAUCCUCUCUUUAGCCUGCUGAUGAGAGAGAGAGCAGAGGGAGAGGAAAGGAUAAAGAUUCAUAAUGAGUAGGACAGAGGCUCAUAUGCUUUUGGAAUGCCACAACAGGACAAUUUCUGGCCCUAAUGAUGUUACUUUGUUGAGCUUCAUAUCUGGGAUAGAGCACACCAUUUUCCUUUUUCUGUUCUGAGUUCCAUUACAUUUGGGAUUGAAUAUUAUCUAUGCCGUAUCUUCCUCCCAUCUCCCCAUCCUAACCCUCCCACAACUGUGUCAACCAGAGAAACAUCCCACUAGAGAGGCUCCUGGUUCAAUUUUGGACAUAAAAUCUUGGGACCAAGGAAACCUUCCUGGAGAGACCCAGCGUUCUCUGCUGUCAGUUUCCUGGCCCUUUGCUUCUUUAUAUCACCUCAAACUCACCUUCAAAAAGGAAGUAAACAAGAAAGUCAGAAUAUCUAUCAUAUGGACUACAAUUUGUGAGAAAAGGAGAGCAAAAGAGAGGGCCUGGUGGUCGCUUUCUACCCCAAAGAGCCAUAUGCACUGAGAACGGCUGAGAACCUCCUCUGCCAACCCAGCAGCAGCCUUCCUAACACCUUGUGUUUGAGAAAUGAGAGACCUACUGUUUAUUAUCACAGGUCCAGGUGGUAAAAAUCCAAAGUUUAUCCAAGCAGAUAUCUUCAAUCGUAAUACCAAAUGACAAUAAAUUGAGGUAAAAUGUUGCUGUUGCAAAUCUACAAAUGAGCUAUACUGUGUACUAUUUUGAGGUAAAACAUUUUCAGAACUACAAAUUUAUGAUCCUUCUAGUAGCUGAAAUAUAAUCUUUUGAAUCAUACUGUUCUGAAUUCAAAUCCCAGCUUCCCACCAACUAGCUGUGUGACUGAGCAAUUUAUUUAUAAAUUGUCUGAGUUCUGGCUUUUUCUUCACAAGGAACAUCAAAAACAUAUUCCACAGGGUAAUUUUGUGAGGAUAAAAAAACGAGAUAAUUGAUGUAAAGCACAUAGAACUAUUGCAAAGUUAUCACUGCUGCAUGGUAAGCACUUAGUAAAUAAUGGCUAUUCGUAGUUUUCAAUUUGGGAUAAAUGUAUGAUGUUAAAUGAAUUUGCUAACUUUGGCCUUAAGACAAUCACUGCAAAUAUUUUGCUUUUGAAAUUGUUUUGAGAUUUUUCUCUCAAUUGCCUUCCAUUUAUCCUGAAAAAUCCAUUACUUAUGACAUGAUAUCAGAGUCAUGUAGAAGGCAGAUUAGAAAGAAGAGCUUUAUAAUCACAACUGAGAGGGAAUUUGAAAUCCACAUUGUGUUGGGAAUAAACUGAGACACCUUUCUGGAGGACAACUUGGCAAUGUCUGUCAAAGCCAUCAGAAUUUCAUUUCUAGGGAUGUGCCAAAGGGCAUUAUGAAGAUAUAGCUCUAGUGAUAUUCACUGCAAUUUUUAAAAAAUUAAAAACCAUUUGUAUGUCCCUUGACAGAAGAUUGUUUAAAUAUAUAAUGAUACAUCAUACCAGUGGAAUGUUAUGUAGCCAUCAAAAAUAUUGUAGAAAAAUAUUGAAUGACAUAAAGAAUAAUCAUUUAAUAAGUGAAAAAGUAUACUGAAGACAAUAUUACAGCAUCCUGUUUUUCACAGAGGAAAAGUCUUCAGAGGAUAUACACCAAAAUAUUAACAUCUUAUAUCAGCAUGGUAGGAUUAUGAAUGACUUUAAGGUUUCUGUUCUUGAUUUUCUGAAAUUUAAAUGAUUUUUUGAACAAACAUGUAUUGUUUAGUAAUUUUUAAAUAAUAUAAAAUAAAUUUACUUGAGUUUUAAAUUUUGCUAUUUCAUUGAAAAUUCAGAAAUGUAAAUAAUGAUAUCUAUAAAGCCAAGCAUAAAUCCACACACAAAUUUAUCCACACGUAUUUAUUCAUAUUUUCUCUAAAAUGCCAGUAUAUUGGUACAUACUAUGUUUGCAUACACAAGCAUACUAACAGAUGAAAAAUUCCUACCAAGUUCUCAUAGUAAAUCUGUGUAUUUCUUCAAAUAUUCAUUUAAAUCCCAAUUUAAAGCUGUAUUUAAGAAAUAGUUGCAGCAUAUCUUUUAAUGCCUCUUCCUUGUAAAGUCUUCAAAUGCUGCUGACCUUGCAUAAUGUUUUUUUUCUUACAACAUAUUAAUUAUUGUUCUGGCACCUCUGGCCUACUCAUGAAAUCAAUGAAGUGUGAAAUGCGUCUGUGCAGAGUAAUAUUUCAUAUUUGGUACUUUAUGUAUUAAUUACUUUUCUGUUUCUGCUAAUACAGACUGGGGGAAAAAACACCCCAUUCUGUAAUGAGGUGUCAGUGGGGAAAGAAGGAAAACAGCAAACAAUUCUGAUUUGCUGACCUAUCGAAAGCUACUAAGAGAAGAAAGAGAAUCUUCUGCACCAGUUCCCUCUGCUGAGAGUGUCUCCUUCUGUAAGCCUGCUACUUAGCAAGUGAGGGGCCUUCUCAUAGUGGAGCCUGGCUUUCUUGUGUUUAAAAUAACAGAUGUGAGAUUAUGAGAAGCAAGUCACUCAAGUCACACCUCAUUGUUUUGAGCCUGACAUAUAAAAUAAAAUCCAAAAUCCAAAGUUCAACUCAAUGUCAACCAAAGAUGGAAUACAGAGUGCAAUUAAAAUAUAUAACAAUUUACCAAAUUAUAAUCUGCAAAGAGAAAAAAAUGUGGGAAAAUGCUAGUCUGUUAAGAUCCUAUUUAGUUGUCACUUCAGCUAUCCAACAGUUAAAAUAUAAAUCAGUUUGACAAUCUGAAAGCAGCAGUUUUAAUCCUGAAUUCCAGGGGUGCUCUCUCUCUCUCUCUCUCUCCCUCUUUCUCUCACUCACACACAGACACACACACAUGCCAGUCAUUCAGCCUGAACAGAAAAAUUCAGGUGUGAUAUUUCUUGAUUCAAGAGCUGUGUUAAGCAGUUAUAAAGCUGAUGUAAUUUACAGCAAAUAAUAAAGCUAACCUAAGAGACCUCAGCCUCAAUUUGCUAAAACUUAUUACACCUCAUUGGCCACUGAAUAUCCAAAAGAAUAAAAAAGAAAAAAAAAACUUACCUGAAUAAGAGACUUGACAAGUAUUAGCCUAGUGAGAAAUGAUUGGCUUAAAAUUGCUCUGGCUACCCCGAAAGGUUCAGAUGAACACUAUUUAUGAUGUUAUGAUUUCCUAUUUCCUGAGUUAUGUCAAAGCCAAAGGAGCUACUGGAACUAUACUAAUGAGUCCAUAGAUGUUUUCAGAUGUCUGUUUGACUCCUGAGUCUAAUUAAAUGUCCUAAUAUGACAUAUGUGGUUCUCCACUGAAUAUCCCAGCUGUGGAAUUAAUACGUUACAAAAAUACACACACACAAUUAUCUCAAACUACAGUGAGUUUGAGGUUAUAAAUAUAGCAAUUAUAUUGAAUUCACUAACAUAGCACUUUGUAAAGUGCUAUAAACAUGCUAAAUAAAUGACCAAGAAUGUGUGACUAUUAAUAACUAGCCUCUUGUUAAUGACACCUCACAGCCUUGUGAAGGAGAGUGCGCUACUUUGGUUUUGUACCAUACCAUCUUUAAUCCAUAUUUUUCAUGAGAAUUUUUUUGUAGCAACAUGUAUUCCCAUGUGCCAAAAUGUUUUGGGGGUGAUGGGGGUAAAGAACUCAUGGGCAAAAUGUUAUGAUGUCAAAGAAAAGUAACAAAUGGCUGGUUUACCCUAAAUUAACAACCCAGUCCAAAAUAAUUCUAACAGUCUCAGAAGUUAUUCUAUAAUGGUAAAUUUGGUGAGGUGAAAUAUUUGCCCACAACUUUCAAAAAUUUCCAUUAUGUAUUAGCAGAUACGUAAU